UGGGGAAUAUUGCACAAUGGGCGCAAGCCUGAUGCAGCCAUGCCGCGUGUAUGAAGAAGGCCUUCGGGUUGUAAAGUACUUUCAGUCGGGAGGAAGGUGUCAAGGUUAAUAACCUUGGCAAUUGACGUUACCGACAGAAGAAGCACCGGCUAACUCCGUGCCAGCAGCCGCGGUAAUACGGAGGGUGCAAGCGUUAAUCGGAAUUACUGGGCGUAAAGCGCACGCAGGCGGUUGAUUGAGUCAGAUGUGAAAUCCCCGGGCUUAACCCUGGAAUUGCAUCUGAUACUGGUCAGCUAGAGUCUUGUAGAGGGGGGUAGAAUUCCAUGUGUAGCGGUGAAAUGCGUAGAGAUGUGGAGGAAUACCGGUGGCGAAGGCGGCCCCCUGGACAAAGACUGACGCUCAGGUGCGAAAGCGUGGGGAGCAAACAGG
rnacentral:rRNA from 1 species